rnacentral:lncRNA from 1 species
GGAGGCUGCAUUUCUGCAUGAUCAGUAACCUGCACCUUCUGAACUGAGAUGAGUGGGAGGACAAUGAGGUUACCAGCCUGAAAAUGGCAGUCGUAUAUAAAUCCUCUUAUCCCAUGGACAGAUUCUGUGAAGAUCAGCAGCUAUGUCUCCAAACACAGGAUUUUAGGAGCCCCAAGAAUCACCAGCAUCCGCCAGCAGCGACUGAUUCAGUAGGCUGGGUAAAGAAUUCAAAAUGCAAGAAGCCAGAAGCAUCGUGGUUCAUUUCCAUGGCCAAAUAUUUGCAAGUGUGUAUUCCAGG